rnacentral:tRNA from 2 species
GGAAGAUUACUCAAGUGGUUAAGAGAACAGGUUGCUAACCUUGAAAGCGUGCGGGGGUUCGAAUCCCUCAUCUUCCG